rnacentral:rRNA from 1 species
GACGGAGGAUGCAAGCGUUAUCCGGAAUUAUUGGGCGUAAAGCGUCCGCAGGUGGUUCAUCAAGUCUGCUGUCAAAAUGCGAGGCUCAACUUCGUAAAGGCAGUGGAAACUGAUGAACUAGAGCAUGGUAGGGGUAGAGGGAAUUCCCGGUGUAGCGGUGAAAUGCGUAGAUAUCGGGAAGAACACCGGUGGCGAAAGCGCUCUACUGGGCCAUGACUGACACUGAGGGACGAAAGCUAGGGGAGCGAAAGGG